rnacentral:rRNA from 1 species
AUUGAACGCUGGCGGCAGGCCUAACACAUGCAAGUCGAGCGAGCGGCGGACGGGUGAGUAAUGUAUGGGGUCUGCCCGAUAGAGGGGGAUAACUGCAGGAAACGGUAGCUAAUACCGCAUACUAUCGGAUAACCCAUAUGGGAUUAGCUAGUAGGUGAGGUAAUGGCUCACCUAGGCGACGAUCCCUAGCGGGCCUGAGAGGAUGAUCAGCCGCACUGGGACGGAAACACGGCCCAGACUCCUACGGAGGGAGCAGUGGGGAAUAUUGCACAGUGGGCGGAAGCCUGAUACAGCCAUGCCGGAGGUAUGAAGAGGGCUCUAGGGUUGUAAAGUACUUUCAGUGGAGAGGCGUAACCGCCAGAAAAAGCACCGGCUAACACCGUGCCAGAAGCCGCGGUAAUC